rnacentral:rRNA from 1 species
UGGGGAAUCUUAGACAAUGGGGGAAACCCUGAUCUAGCCAUGCCGCGUGAGCGAUGAAGGCCUUAGGGUUGUAAAGCUCUUUCAGCUGGGAAGAUAAUGACGGUACCAGCAGAAGAAGCCCCGGCUAACUCCGUGCCAGCAGCCGCGGUAAUACGGAGGGGGCUAGCGUUGUUCGGAAUUACUGGGCGUAAAGCGCACGUAGGCGGAUUAGUCAGUCAGAGGUGAAAUCCCAGGGCUCAACCCUGGAACUGCCUUUGAUACUGCUAGUCUUGAGGUCGAGAGAGGUGAGUGGAAUUCCGAGUGUAGAGGUGAAAUUCGUAGAUAUUCGGAGGAACACCAGUGGCGAAGGCGGCUCACUGGCUCGAUACUGACGCUGAGGUGCGAAAGCGUGGGGAGCAAAACAGGAUUAGAUACCCUGGUAGUCCACGCCGUAAACGAUGAAUGCCAGUCGUCGGGUUGCAUGCAAUUCGGUGACACACAUACGGAUUAAGCAUUCCGCCUGGGGAGUACGGUCGCAAGAUUAAAACUCAAAGGAAUUGACGGGGGUCAUAGCUGUUUCCUG